AUACGUAGGGGGCGAGCGUUGUCCGGAAUGAUUGGGCGUAAAGGGCGCGUAGGCGGCGCGGUAAGUCUGGAGUGAAAGUCCUGCUUUCAAGGUGGGAAUUGCUUUGGAUACUGCCGCGCUUGAGUGCAGGAGAGGUUAUCGGAAUUCCCGGUGUAGCGGUGAAAUGCGUAGAGAUCGGGAGGAACAUCAGUGGCGAAGGCGGGUAACUGGACUGCAACUGACGCUGAGGCGCGAAAGUGUGGGGAGCAAACAGGAUUAGAUACCCUGGUAGUCCACACUGUAAACGAUGAAUGCUAGGUGUAAGAGGUAUCGACCCCUUUUGUGCCGGAGUCAACACAAUAAGCAUUCCGCCUGGGGAGUACGGCCGCAAGGUUGAAACUCAAAGGAAUUGACGGGG
rnacentral:rRNA from 1 species